UACGAAGGGGGCUAGCGUUGCUCGGAAUCACUGGGCGUAAAGGGUGCGUAGGCGGGUCUUUAAGUCAGGGGUGAAAUCCUGGAGCUCAACUCCAGAACUGCCUUCAAUACUGGCAAUCUCGAGUCCGGAAGAGGUAAGUGGAACUCCUAGUGUAGAGGUGGAAUUCGUAGAUAUUAGGAAGAACACCAGUGGCGAAGGCGGCUUACUGGUCCGGUACUGACGCUGAGGUGCGAAAGCGUGGGGAGCAAACAGG
rnacentral:rRNA from 1 species